CCGAAUGGGGAAACCCAGUGUGAUUCGUCACACUAUCGUUAACUGAAUACAUAGGUUAACGAGGCGAACCGGGGGAACUGAAACAUCUAAGUACCCCGAGGAAAAGAAAUCAACCGAGAUUCCCCCAGUAGCGGCGAGCGAACGGGGAGCAGCCCAGAGUCUGAAUCAGCUUGUGUGUUAGUGGAACGGUCUGGAAAGUCCGACGGUACAGGGUGAUAGUCCCGUACACCAAAAUGCACAGGUUGUGAACUCGAAGAGUAGGG
rnacentral:rRNA from 1 species